UCAAGAGUCAGCCAGUGAGCCGGCUGAUUCGAAUAUAAUGGUUGUGAGGGAAGAGACACCGUCGGAAGCGCUUGCAAUAGUUCCGAUUCAAGUUUUCGUGCCAGUGUCCCAAACAACCACUGUGCCGGAAUUUGAAGAAACACCUGAGACAGAUUUUGAACCAACCCCUCUGCUACAAAUUGAAGGAACUACAAAAACCACUCCUGAACCCCCACAACAACUUGAAGAAAGCACA